CGGUGUAGUUAAUAGCUGCAUCGUUUGACGUUAGCGACAGAAGAAGCACCGGCUAACUCCGUGCCAGCAGCCGCGGUAAUACGGUAGUGUAGUUAAUAGCUGCAUUAUUUGACGUUAGCGACAGAAGAAGCACCGGCUAACUCCGUGCCAGCAGCCGCGGUAAUACGGAGGGUGCGAGCGUUAAUCGGAAUUACUGGGCGUAAAGCGCAUGCAGGUGGUUUGUUAAGUCAGAUGUGAAAGCCCGGGGCUCAACCUCGGAAUUGCAUUUGAAACUGGCAGACUAGAGUACUGUAGAGGGGGGUAGAAUUUCAGGUGUAGCGGUGAAAUGCGUAGAGAUCUGAAGGAAUACCGGUGGCGAAGGCGGCCCCCUGGACAGAUACUGACACUCAGAUGCGAAAGCGUGGGGAGCAAACAGGAUUAGAUACCCUGGUAGUCCACGCCGUAAACGAUGUCUACUUGGAGGUUGUGGCCUUGAGCCGUGGCUUUCGGAGCUAACGCGUUAAGUAGACCGCCUGGGGAGUACGGUCGCAAGAUUAAAACUCAAAUGAAUUGACGGGGGCCCGCACAAGCGGUGGAGCAUGUGGUUUAAUUCGAUGCAACGCGAAGAACCUUACCUACUCUUGACAUCCAGAGAACUUUCCAGAGAUGGAUUGGUGCCUUCGGGAACUCUGAGACAGGUGCUGCAUGGCUGUCGUCAGCUCGUGUUGUGAAAUGUUGGGUUAAGUCCCGCAACGAGCGCAACCCUUAUCCUUGUUUGCCAGCGAGUAAUGUCGGGAACUCCAGGGAGACUGCCGGUGAUAAACCGGAGGAAGGUGGGGACGACGUCAAGUCAUCAUGGCCCUUACGAGUAGGGCUACACACGUGCUACAAUGGCGCAUACAGAGGGCGGCCAACUUGCGAAAGUGAGCGAAUCCCAAAAAGUGCGUCGUAGUCCGGAUUGGAGUCUGCAACUCGACUCCAUGAAGUCGGAAUCGCUAGUAAUCGUGGAUCAGAAUGCCACGGUGAAUACGUUCCCGGGCCUUGUACACACCGCCCGUCACACCAUGGG
rnacentral:rRNA from 1 species